UUAUAUCUGACAGUGGAUUCUACCAAUGCAGGACAACUGACAGUGACCCAGACAGCAGAAACGUGAGAGUCGUCGUCGGGCGGAGAGGUGUUGGUGGGUCGCUUAUUAUUGCCAUAACUCGCAGCGCUUCAGUCAGCUUAGAUGGUACACUCAGGCUACAAUGCACUGUCGGAGAACUGGACUCGAGCACAAAUGUUGAGUGGCAAAAGGUAGAGAGGACACGCACGACUGUGCUAACACAAGGUACAAGGAGGAUAACCAGAGACGUCAGAGUAGGAAUUGAGAAGACUACAUCUAACAGCAAUGAUGUAUACAUCCUGACAAUCGCAGAGAUUGAGAGAGACGAUGAGGGUGACUACCGCUGCACGACCACCAAUGAUAGUCCAUCCUCCGAAGAUGUUUCUAUUACUGUG